GACGAACGCUGGCGGCGUGCCUAAUACAUGCAAGUUGAGCGCUGAAGGUUGGUACUUGUACCGACUGGAUGAGCAGCGAACGGGUGAGUAACGCGUGGGGAAUCUGCCUUUGAGCGGGGGACAACAUUUGGAAACGAAUGCUAAUACCGCAUAAAAACUUUAAACACAAGUUUUAAGUUUGAAAGAUGCAAUUGCAUCACUCAAAGAUGAUCCCGCGUUGUAUUAGCUAGUUGGUGAGGUAAAGGCUCACCAAGGCGAUGAUACAUAGCCGACCUGAGAGGGGGAUCGGCAACAUUGGGACUGAGACACGGCCCAAACUCCUACGGGAGGCAGCAGUAGGGAAUCUUCGGCAAUGGACGAAAGUCUGACCGAGCAACGCCGCGUGAGUGAAGAAGGUUGUCGGAUCGUAAAACUCGGUUGGUAGAGAAGAACGUUGGUGAGAGUGGAAAGCUCAUCAAGUGACGGUAACUACCCAGAAAGGGACGGCUAACUACGUG
rnacentral:rRNA from 1 species